UGUCACAGCACCCAGCAUCAGCAGGCACCGGCCACCAGGGUCCCAUCUGCCCUGGAGACCUCCUGCAGAGAAGCUCUCAUCUCUGCCCCUGGCCAGGGGCUCAAGACAGAGUGACAGCUUUCAGGGCAUAACCAGCAGGGCCCUGCAGGCACCAGUGCCGUACAGCAAGCUCUGGACCAGUGCACAGUCCGGUCUGCUAAUGGAUGUCCCAGAUCAGUUCUUGUGGCUCCUGUUUCUUGGAGCUUGUGGCUGCUCUGGUUGUAGAAGCUGCAGCUGAUGCAUUCUUCAAGGCCACAUUCCAGAGUAAGCUUCAGCUAAUUCCAUCUCCACCUAACUGACAUUGCUUCUUUCGUUAUAAGCCAGUUGAAACUCCAGUUAAAUAAAAGCUCGUGUUUGGCUAAUUCUACCUCCAGCUAGUUCUGAUCAAUCACUGUCAUAACUUACAUAAUAAUAUGAUCUGUCAUAAUCUUACAGGAGUAGUAUUUCUGGACAAGGCGUAGAUAUUAAAUAAAGAGCAGGG
rnacentral:lncRNA from 1 species